rnacentral:rRNA from 1 species
UACGUAGGUGGCGAGCGUUGUCCGGAUUUACUGGCGUAAAGAGCGCGCAGGCGGUCGUUCAAGUCGCGUGUGAAAGCCCCGGCUCAACUGGGGAGGUCACACGAUACUGAUCGACUCGAAGGCAGGAGAGGGAAGUGGAAUUCCCGGUGUAGUGGUGAAAUGCGUAGAUAUCGGGAGGAACACCAGUGGCGAAGGCGACUUCCUGGCCUGUUCUUGACGCUGAGGCGGCGAAAA